AUUAUGGCGGGAGAUGAUGUUCCUCCUUAAACCGCCUUUCAAUCAAGGAUAAUGACGUCUAACAACAU
rnacentral:ncRNA from 21 species